rnacentral:rRNA from 1 species
AGCGUACACGGUGGAUGCCCUGGCAGUCAGAGGCGAUGAAGGACGUGCUAAUCUGCGAUAAGCGUCGGUAAGGUGAUAUGAACCGUUAUAACCGGCGAUUUCCGAAUGGGGAAACCCAGUGUGUUUCGACACACUAUCAUUAACUGAAUCCAUAGGUUAAUGAGGCGAACCGGGGGAACUGAAACAUCUAAGUACCCCGAGGAAAAGAAAUCAACCGAGAUUCCCCCAGUAGCGGCGAGCGAACGGGGAGCAGCCCAGAGCCUGAAUCAGUGUGUGUGUUAGUGGAAGCGUCUGGAAAGGCGCGCGAUACAGGGUGACAGCCCCGUACACAAAAAUGCACAUGCUGUGAGCUCGAUGAGUAGGGCGGGACACGUGGUAUCCUGUCUGAAUAUGGGGGGACCAUCCUCCAAGGCUAAAUACUCCUGACUGACCGAUAGUGAACCAGUACCGUGAGGGAAAGGCGAAAAGAACCCCGGCGAGGGGAGUGAAAAAGAACCUGAAACCGUGUACGUACAAGCAGUGGGAGCCUCUUUAUGGGGUGACUGCGUACCUUUUGUAUAAUGGGUCAGCGACUUAUAUUCUGUAGCAAGGUUAACCGAAUAGGGGAGCCGAAGGGAAACCGAGUCUUAACUGGGCGUUAAGUUGCAGGGUAUAGACCCGAAACCCGGUGAUCUAGCCAUGGGCAGGUUGAAGGUUGGGUAACACUAACUGGAGGACCGAACCGACUAAUGUUGAAAAAUUAGCGGAUGACUUGUGGCUGGGGGUGAAAGGCCAAUCAAACCGGGAGAUAGCUGGUUCUCCCCGAAAGCUAUUUAGGUAGCGCCUCGUGAAUUCAUCUCCGGGGGUAGAGCACUGUUUCGGCAAGGGGGUCAUCCCGACUUACCAACCCGAUGCAAACUGCGAAUACCGGAGAAUGUUAUCACGGGAGACACACGGCGGGUGCUAACGUCCGUCGUGAAGAGGGAAACAACCCAGACCGCCAGCUAAGGUCCCAAAGUCAUGGUUAAGUGGGAAACGAUGUGGGAAGGCCCAGACAGCCAGGAUGUUGGCUUAGAAGCAGCCAUCAUUUAAAGAAAGCGUAAUAGCUCACUGGUCGAGUCGGCCUGCGCGGAAGAUGUAACGGGGCUAAACCAUGCACCGAAGCUGCGGCAGCGACGCUUAUGCGUUGUUGGGUAGGGGAGCGUUCUGUAAGCCUGUGAAGGUGUGCUGUGAGGCAUGCUGGAGGUAUCAGAAGUGCGAAUGCUGACAUAAGUAACGAUAAAGCGGGUGAAAAGCCCGCUCGCCGGAAGACCAAGGGUUCCUGUCCAACGUUAAUCGGGGCAGGGUGAGUCGACCCCUAAGGCGAGGCCGAAAGGCGUAGUCGAUGGGAAACAGGUUAAUAUUCCUGUACUUGGUGUUACUGCGAAGGGGGGACGGAGAAGGCUAUGUUGGCCGGGCGACGGUUGUCCCGGUUUAAGCGUGUAGGCUGGUUUUCCAGGCAAAUCCGGAAAAUCAAGGCUGAGGCGUGAUGACGAGGCACUACGGUGCUGAAGCAACAAAUGCCCUGCUUCCAGGAAAAGCCUCUAAGCAUCAGGUAACAUCAAAUCGUACCCCAAACCGACACAGGUGGUCAGGUAGAGAAUACCAAGGCGCUUGAGAGAACUCGGGUGAAGGAACUAGGCAAAAUGGUGCCGUAACUUCGGGAGAAGGCACGCUGAUAUGUAGGUGAAGCGACUUGCUCGUGGAGCUGAAAUCAGUCGAAGAUACCAGCUGGCUGCAACUGUUUAUUAAAAACACAGCACUGUGCAAACACGAAAGUGGACGUAUACGGUGUGACGCCUGCCCGGUGCCGGAAGGUUAAUUGAUGGGGUUAGCGGUAACGCGAAGCUCUUGAUCGAAGCCCCGGUAAACGGCGGCCGUAACUAUAACGGUCCUAAGGUAGCGAAAUUCCUUGUCGGGUAAGUUCCGACCUGCACGAAUGGCGUAAUGAUGGCCAGGCUGUCUCCACCCGAGACUCAGUGAAAUUGAACUCGCUGUGAAGAUGCAGUGUACCCGCGGCAAGACGGAAAGACCCCGUGAACCUUUACUAUAGCUUGACACUGAACAUUGAGCCUUGAUGUGUAGGAUAGGUGGGAGGCUUUGAAGUGUGGACGCCAGUCUGCAUGGAGCCGACCUUGAAAUACCACCCUUUAAUGUUUGAUGUUCUAACGUUGACCCGUAAUCCGGGUUGCGGACAGUGUCUGGUGGGUAGUUUGACUGGGGCGGUCUCCUCCUAAAGAGUAACGGAGGAGCACGAAGGUUGGCUAAUCCUGGUCGGACAUCAGGAGGUUAGUGCAAUGGCAUAAGCCAGCUUGACUGCGAGCGUGACGGCGCGAGCAGGUGCGAAAGCAGGUCAUAGUGAUCCGGUGGUUCUGAAUGGAAGGGCCAUCGCUCAACGGAUAAAAGGUACUCCGGGGAUAACAGGCUGAUACCGCCCAAGAGUUCAUAUCGACGGCGGUGUUUGGCACCUCGAUGUCGGCUCAUCACAUCCUGGGGCUGAAGUAGGUCCCAAGGGUAUGGCUGUUCGCCAUUUAAAGUGGUACGCGAGCUGGGUUUAGAACGUCGUGAGACAGUUCGGUCCCUAUCUGCCGUGGGCGCUGGAGAACUGAGGGGGGCUGCUCCUAGUACGAGAGGACCGGAGUGGACGCAUCACUGGUGUUCGGGUUGUCAUGCCAAUGGCACUGCCCGGUAGCUAAAUGCGGAAGAGAUAAGUGCUGAAAGCAUCUAAGCACGAAACUUGCCCCGAGAUGAGUUCUCCCUGACUCCUUGA